UGAAACUUUAAUUAUUGUUUAUUUGUUUUGGGUGAUUUAAUUAUGUUAGAUAUAGGUAAAGUUGGUAUGCAGCUUCAUUCUUUUAUCAAUUAAUUGAAACAGACUCUUUAACUCUAUUCUUGGAACUCUAUAUUAAGGUAAUAUUCUUUGUCAUCGGCAACAAAUAAAGAAUCCACUAAUCAAUGAAUAAUCCAGUAGAUCCAUAAGGCAGCAGCAAAGCAAGAUUUUUUGCUUCAGGAAUUAAUUACUUGGGUAAUUUGGUUUUACUCCCCUGUGAGUUCCUUUAUUUAUUUUUUUCGGGGAAAUCUUUUCUAAUUCAUUUUUGUAUCCUACUAGAAAAUGAUGCAAAGUUUUUUAUUCUCUAUUGAAAGUGAUUCUUAUUAAAAGAUCUAAGAAGAUAAAAUUGAUCGUGUAUUAUCUUCAUCUGAAAACAUUUCAUUUUGAAGGAAAACAAUAAAUGAGGAUAGAAUAUUAUCGGAAUAACAAUUGUAUUGUUAAGAAUAGAAUUCUAAUUAGAGUGAAUGUGUAUCUUGUAGAGAGUUUUACUUUGAGGCU
rnacentral:lncRNA from 1 species